AGGGUGUAAACGCUGCCGACUUGGUGUUGGAGGCCCUUCGGGGGCGAUUCAGUGCCGGAGAGAAGUUGUUAAGUCGGCCACUUGGGGAGUACGUCCGCAAGGAUGAAACUUAAAGGAAUUGGCGGGGGAGCACCGCAACGGGAGGAGCGUGCGGUUUAAUUGGAUUCAACACCGGAAAACUCACCAAGGGCGACUGUUACAUGAAAGCCAGGCUAAUGACCUUGCUUGAUUUUCAGAGAGGAGGUGCAUGGCGUCAGUGACU
rnacentral:rRNA from 1 species